GCAAGUCGAGCGCGCCUUCGGGCGAGCGGCGGACGGGUUAGUAACGCGUGGGAACGUGCCCAGAUCUACGGAAUAGCCACUGGAAACGGUGAGUAAUACCGUAUACGCCCUUCGGGGGAAAGAUUUAUCGGAUUUGGAUCGGCCCGCGUUAGAUUAGGUAGUUGGUGGGGUAAUGGCCUACCAAGCCUACGAUCUAUAGCUGGUUUUAGAGGAUGAUCAGCAACACUGGGACUGAGACACGGCCCAGACUCCUACGGGAGGCAGCAGUGGGGAAUCUUGGACAAUGGGGGCAACCCUGAUCCAGCCAUGCCGCGUGAGUGAAGAAGGCCCUAGGGUCGUAAAACUCUUUCGCCUGUGAUGAUAAUGACAGUAGCAGGUAAAGAAACCCCGGCUAACUCCGUGCCAGCAGCCGCGGUAAUACGGAGGGGGUUAGCGUUGUUCGGAAUUACUGGGCGUAAAGCGCACGUAGGCGGAUUAGAAAGUUAGAGGUGAAAUCCCGGGGCUCAACCCCGGAACUGCCUUUAAAACUACUAGUCUAGAGUUCGAGAGAGGUGAGUGGAAUUCCGAGUGUAGAGGUGAAAUUCGUAGAUAUUCGGAGGAACACCAGUGGCGAAGGCGGCUCACUGGCUCGAUACUGACGCUGAGGUGCGAAAGUGUGGGGAGCAAACAGGAUUAGAUACCCUGGUAGUCCACACCGUAAACGAUGAAUGCCAGUCGUCGGGUAGUAUACUAUUCGGUGACACACCUAACGGAUUAAGCAUUCCGCCUGGGGAGUACGGUCGCAAGAUUAAAAC
rnacentral:rRNA from 1 species